rnacentral:rRNA from 1 species
GACGAACGCUGGCGGCGUGCUUCACACAUGCAAGUCGAGCGAUGAAGCACCUUCGGGUGUGGAUUAGCGGCGAACGGGUGAGGAACACGUGAGGAAUCUGCCUUCCACUCUGGGAUAACUCCGGGAAACCGGGGCUAAUACCGGAUACUUUCAACUGGCGGCAUCGCCGGUUGAAGAAAGUUUUUCGGUGGAAGAUGACCUCGCGGCCUAUCAGCUUGUUGGUGAGGUAAAGGCUCACCAAGGCGACGACGGGUAGCCGGCCUGAGAGGGCGACCGGCCACACUGGGACUGAGACGCGGCCCAGACUCCUACGGGAGGCAGCAGUGGGGAAUAGUGGGCAAUGGAGGAAACUCUGACCCAGCGACGCCGCGUGAGGGAUGAAGGCCUUCGGGUUGUAAACCUCUUUCAGCAGGGAAUAAGCGAAAGUGAAGGUACCUGCAGAAGAAGCACCGGCUAACUAUGUGCCAGCCGCCGCCGUAAAAC